GAGGAGUAUCUUCACAAACAUAACAAAAAGUAUACUGUGACCAGCAUAAUCACUCAGAUUUCCAAAACAGCAUACUAAAACGCUGCCAGUGAAAGGUCCUCUAGUGCAUCACUCAGACCAAAAGCUCUACACACAACUCCAGAACCUGCACUAGUUCAUCAGCUGCAGAAAAUAAUCUUGCAGGAGUUUCAACCUUGCUGAGAACAAGCAAAAAAGUAAAAAUUCUUAAGUGGGGGCGAUGGGAGACUUGACACAGGUGAAGAGGGAUGAAGCACAGGGGCUCCAGCCGGUUGGCCUGAAGCAGCAAGCCGGCUGGGCUUGGCCGCACCUGGGAGGAGCUGAUGAGGUGAGGGCGUGCGGAGCUCGUGCCACAAGAUGGUGGCGCGGCUGAGGGGAGUGUAGCUGCUACAGCCAGGGAAGAGCAAGGAGGGAGCCCUGCAGCAGGCAGGCGGCGCUACGUGGAGGCUGUGUAGUGUGGCUGCGACUAAGAGGUCACUGCGGAGUACCUACGUGGUUGUUUAGUGGAAGCGUGGUGAAACUGCUGUGUAGGCUGAAUGCAGCUGGUAACCUGGAGGGACUCGCAGAGAUAGGAGCAAAAGGGCUGCAUGGCAUCCAGCAGGAUGCACGUUCCUGAGGAUGGGUCUGUGGGGUCCUACACCCACUAGGAUUGACUGAAGCCUGCAGCAGGGUCGCUGAUGUCUGGGAUGGUUCUUGCUGCGAGGCAUAGUGGUACCUUCAUACAUUGGUUUUGGAGGGAGGGGGAAAAAGGCAAAAAAGUGCCUUAAUGGACUGCUCUGAAUUAAAAGCUGUAACCAUCCUUUGCAGUGAGCUAGAUUCUUUGUAACUAUGCGUAUUCCCCUCGCAGCUGAGGUGGCUGUACAGUACUACACAUUUCCUGCUCAUGACAGGAUGUAAAAUAUGUGCUUAACUAUCUUUUAAGUCAGUGGGGCUAAAGCUGAUACGUGCUCACAUCCUUUCCUGGCCUGAGGUCUAUGGAUGGAGUCUGACAUCCCUAUUGGCAUUCUAACAACGCCUAUCUGACAAAGGCUGCAAAAACACAGCUUUACAGCUCAGUAAUAAAUAUUCUGAUUCUGGAUUCUGCCCUCAAGUAGGGGCUAUGCGUUACCUGAAUUGAUUUUAAACGUGCUUUUAGCUCAGGCUGAUGUAACUAAGGUGUUCUUUUACAUAUCCCACAGGGGAGGGAAAUGGACUGAGGGAGAGUGGAGGAGAGCUGUUUCAGGUCACCAUCUUGUCGCUCGAAACUCCCUAUGGGUUUCUCCCUAUGGGUAAUUCCUUCUGAAAGUAAAAAUAGCCAUAUAGUGUUGGAGCUUCACCGUAUUUGUUUUAUUG